rnacentral:pre_miRNA from 1 species
AGCCCCCUGUAUCCGUGCUGAGAUUUCGUCAGAGAUCAGCCUGUUAGGGCUGAUGAAGCUUCUCAAAUAAGUGAAGCG